rnacentral:rRNA from 1 species
UGACAGAGGGUGCGAGCGUUGUCCGGAAUCACUGGGCGUAAAGGGUGCGCAGUGGCCGGUGCGCGUGGGGAGUGAAAUCGCCCUGGCUUAACUGGGCGGGGGCGUUUCCAGACGGCGCGGCUUGAGCCACAGAGGGGGGCGUGGAAUUCCGGGUGGAGGCGGUGAAAUGCGUAGAGAUCCGGAGGAACACCCGAGCGGCGUAGGCAGCGCCCUGGCCUGUGAAUAAAGCUGGACACUGAGGCACGAAAGCUGGGGGAGCAAACAGG